GUCUAAGUCCAUAUUGCCCUGAAUGUGCUCAAUCACUUAGAAGCUAAGCAGGGUCAGGCCUGGUGAGUACUUGGAUGGAAGAAAGAUCUUCAGAGGAGACUGCUCAGAGACAAGCAGUUUGGAGA
rnacentral:rRNA from 1 species